CAACAUCGAAAACUAAAGACUGAGCAACAGGUCAAUUCUAUCAAAAACAGAAGAUCUCACUGGAGCUCUGGAAGGGUAAGCAGAUCCUGCUCCACAUGUGUCAUGUGUCAUGUUGCUCAUGAAAGUAAAAUUGUUAAUGUGAAGGCUGUUACUAGGCAUAUUAUUUUAGUGAGGCAAAAUAAUUGAGCUGAGCGAAACGAG
rnacentral:lncRNA from 1 species